GACGAACGCUGGUUGCGUGCUUAACACAUGCAAGUCGAACGGAAAGGCCCUGCUUUUGUGGGGUGCUCGAGUGGCGAACGGGUGAGUAACACGUGAGUAACCUGCCCUUGACUUUGGGAUAACUUCAGGAAACUGGGGCUAAUACCGGAUAGGAGCUCCUGCUGCAUGGUGGGGGUUGGAAAGUUUCGGCGGUUGGGGAUGGACUCGCGGCUUAUCAGCUUGUUGGUGGGGUAGUGGCUUACCAAGGCUUUGACGGGUAGCCGGCCUGAGAGGGUGACCGGCCACAUUGGGACUGAGAUACGGCCCAGACUCCUACGGGAGGCAGCAGUGGGGAAUAUUGCACAAUGGGCGGAAGCCUGAUGCAGCAACGCCGCGUGCGGGAUGACGGCCUUCGGGUUGUAAACCGCUUUCGCCUGUGACGAAGCGUGAGUGACGGUAAUGGGUAAAGAAGCACCGGCUAACUACGUGCCAGCAGCCGCGGUGAUACGUAGGGUGCGAGCGUUGUCCGGAUUUAUUGGGCGUAAAGGGCUCGUAGGUGGUUGAUCGCGUCGGAAGUGUAAUCUUGGGGCUUAACCCUGAGCGUGCUUUCGAUACGGGUUGACUUGAGGAAGGUAGGGGAGAAUGGAAUUCCUGGUGGAGCGGUGGAAUGCGCAGAUAUCAGGAGGAACACCAGUGGCGAAGGCGGUUCUCUGGGCCUUUCCUGACGCUGAGGAGCGAGAGCGUGGGGAGCGAACAGGCUUAGAUACCCUGGUAGUCCACGCUGUAAACGGUGGGUACUAGGUGUGGGGUCCAUUCCACGGGUUCCGUGCCGUAGCUAACGCUUUAAGUACCCCGCCUGGGGAGUACGGCCGCAAGGCUAAAACUCAAAGGAAUUGACGGGGCCCCGCACAAGCGGCGGAGCAUGCGGAUUAAUUCGAUGCAACGCGUAGAGCCUUACCUGGGUUUGACAUGGAUCGGGAGUGCUCAGAGAUGGGUGUGCCUCUUUUGGGGUCGGUUCACAGGUGGUGCAUGGCUGUCGUCAGCUCGUGUCGUGAGAUGUUGGGUUAAGUCCCGCAACGAGCGCAACCCUUGUUCACUGUUGCCAGCACGUUAUGGUGGGGACUCAGUGGAGACCGCCGGGGUCAACUCGGAGGAAGGUGGGGAUGACGUCAAGUCAUCAUGCCCCUUAUGUCCAGGGCUUCACGCAUGCUACAAUGGCUGGUACAGAGAGUGGCGAGCCUGUGAGGGUGAGCGAAUCUCGGAAAGCCGGUCUCAGUUCGGAUUGGGGUCUGCAACUCGACCUCAUGAAGUCGGAGUCGCUAGUAAUCGCAGAUCAGCAACGCUGCGGUGAAUACGUUCCCGGG
rnacentral:rRNA from 1 species